rnacentral:rRNA from 1 species
GACGAACGCUGGCGGCGUGCUUAACACAUGCAAGUCGAACGGAAAGGCCCCUUCGGGGGUACUCGAGUGGCGAACGGGUGAGUAACACGUGGGUGAUCUGCCCCUGACUUUGGGAUAAGCCUGGGAAACUGGGUCUAAUACCGGAUAUGACCAAGGACUGCAUGGUUUUUGGUGGAAAGCUUUUGCGGUUGGGGAUGGGCCCGCGGCCUAUCAGCUUGUUGGUGGGGUAAUGGCCUACCAAGGCGACGACGGGUAGCCGACCUGAGAGGGUGAUCGGCCACACUGGGACUGAGACACGGCCCAGACUCCUACGGGAGGCAGCAGUGGGGAAUAUUGCACAAUGGGCGCAAGCCUGAUGCAGCUACGCCGCGUGAGGGAUGACGGCCUUCGGGUUGUAAACCUCUUUCACCAGGGACGAAGCUUUUGUGACGGUACCUGGAGAAGAAGCACCGGCCAACUACGUGCCAGCAGCCGCCGUAAGAC